GCCGGGAGUUAGUGGCGUGCUCCUGUAAUCCAGCUACUUGGAGGCCGGGUGCAGCAGAUGACUCUGAUCGUGUUAUUCGGAUCCUA
rnacentral:SRP_RNA from 1 species